rnacentral:rRNA from 1 species
UAAGACGAAGGGGGCAAGCGUUGUUCGGAAUUACUGGGCGUAAAGCGAGUGUAGGCGGUUGCCCAAGUCAGGUGUGAAAGCCUUGAGCUCAACUCAAGAAAUGCACUUGGUACUGGGUGACUAGAGGACCGGAGAGGAUAGUGGAAUUCCCAGUGUAGUGGUGAAAUACGUAGAGAUUGGGAAGAACACCAGUGGCGAAGGCGGCUAUCUGGACGGUUACUGACGCUAAGACUCGAAAGCGUGGGGAGCAAACAGGAUUAGAUACCCUGGUAGUCCACGCCGUAAACGAUGGGUGCUAGACGUUGGCGGGCUUGCUCGUCAGUGUCGCAGCUAACGCGUUAAGCACCCCGCCUGGGGAGUACGGCCGCAAGGUUG